GCGGGAAUAGCUCAGUUGGUAGAGCAUAACCUUGCCAAGGUUGGGGUCGCGAGUUCGAGUCUCGGUUCCCGCUCCA
rnacentral:tRNA from 1 species